rnacentral:rRNA from 1 species
GACGAACGCUGGCGGCGUGCUUAACACAUGCAAGUCGAACGGAAAGGCCCUGCUUUUGUGGGGUGCUCGAGUGGCGAACGGGUGAGUAACACGUGAGUAACCUGCCCUUGACUUUGGGAUAACUUCAGGAAACUGGGGCUAAUACCGGAUAGGAGCUCCUGCUGCAUGGUGGGGGUUGGAAAGUUUCGGCGGUUGGGGAUGGACUCGCGGCUUAUCAGCUUGUUGGUGGGGUAGUGGCUUACCAAGGCUUUGACGGGUAGCCGGCCUGAGAGGGUGACCGGCCACAUUGGGACUGAGAGACGGGCCAGACUCCUACGGGAGGCAGCAGUGGGGAAUAUUGCACAAUGGGCGGAAGCCUGAUGCAGCAACGCCGCGUUCGGGAUGACGGCCUUCGGGUUGUAAACCGCUUUCGCCUGUGACGAAGCGUGAGUGACGGUAAUGGGUAAAGAAGCACCGGCUAACUACGUG